GUGCUCUUGACGUCACGCUCAGGAACUACCGGAGAUCGGGGCCAAACUUGGUGCUUUCACCCUGCAAGCGGUUAUUCUUCAAGUGGCAAAGGCUAUUGAGUAUCUUCACCAGCAGCACAUCAUUUACCGGGAUCUGAAGUCUGAAAAUGUUCUUGUGUGGUCCAUGCCCCUCCUUUCCAAGAUCAUCUAGAUGUGCCUGUCUAUAUAAAAUUGGCCGAUUAUGGUAUAAGUAGAUUGACCCUUCCUUCUGGAACUAAAGGUUUCGGAGGUACUGAAGGAUUAUGGCCCGGAAAUAAUGCGCUACAAUGGAGAAGAAGAUAUUACCGAAAAGGU